AUGAACGCUAGCGACAGGCUUAACACAUGCAAGUCGAGGGGCAGCGGGGGUAGCAAUACCCGCCGGCGACCGGCGCACGGGUGAGUAACGCGUAUGCAACUUACCUAUCAGAGGGGGAUAACCCGGCGAAAGUCGGACUAAUACCGCAUGAAGCAGGGAUCCCGCAUGGGAAUAUUUGCUAAAGAUUCAUCGCUGAUAGAUAGGCAUGCGUUCCAUUAGGCAGUUGGCGGGGUAACGGCCCACCAAACCGACGAUGGAUAGGGGUUCUGAGAGGAAGGUCCCCCACAUUGGUACUGAGACACGGACCAAACUCCUACGGGAGGCAGCAGUGAGGAAUAUUGGUCAAUGGCCGAGAGGCUGAACCAGCCAAGUCGCGUGAGGGAUGAAGGUUCUAUGGAUCGUAAACCUCUUUUAUAAGGGAAUAAAGUGCGGGACGUGUCCCGUUUUGUAUGUACCUUAUGAAUAAGGAUCGGCUAACUCCGUGCCAGCAGCCGCGGUAAUACGGAGGAUCCGAGCGUUAUCCGGAUUUAUUGGGUUUAAAGGGUGCGUAGGCGGCCUUUUAAGUCAGCGGUGAAAGUCUGUGGCUCAACCAUAGAAUUGCCGUUGAAACUGGGGGGCUUGAGUAUGUUUGAGGCAGGCGGAAUGCGUGGUGUAGCGGUGAAAUGCUUAGAUAUCACGCAGAACCCCGAUUGCGAAGGCAGCCUGCCAAGCCAUGACUGACGCUGAUGCACGAAAGCGUGGGGAUCAAACAGGAUUAGAUACCCUGGUAGUCCACGCAGUAAACGAUGAUCACUAGCUGUUUGCGAUACACUGUAAGCGGCACAGCGAAAGCGUUAAGUGAUCCACCUGGGGAGUACGCCGGCAACGGUGAAACUCAAAGGAAUUGACGGGGGCCCGCACAAGCGGAGGAACAUGUGGUUUAAUUCGAUGAUACGCGAGGAACCUUACCCGGGUUUGAACGCAUUCGGACCGAGGUGGAAACACCUUUUCUAGCAAUAGCCGUUUGCGAGGUGCUGCAUGGUUGUCGUCAGCUCGUGCCGUGAGGUGUCGGCUUAAGUGCCAUAACGAGCGCAACCCUUGCCACUAGUUACUAACAGGUAAAGCUGAGGACUCUGGUGGGACUGCCAGCGUAAGCUGCGAGGAAGGCGGGGAUGACGUCAAAUCAGCACGGCCCUUACAUCCGGGGCGACACACGUGUUACAAUGGCGUGGACAAAGGGAAGCCACCUGGCGACAGGGAGCGAAUCCCCAAACCACGUCUCAGUUCGGAUCGGAGUCUGCAACCCGACUCCGUGAAGCUGGAUUCGCUAGUAAUCGCGCAUCAGCCAUGGCGCGGUGAAUACGUUCCCGGGCCUUGUACACACCGCCCGUCAAGCCAUGGGAGCCGGGGGUACCUGAAGUCCGUAACCGCGAGGAUCGGCCUAGGGUAAAACUGGUGACUGGGGCU
rnacentral:rRNA from 1 species